GAAGCAUUGUAAUUGAGCUAGUGACCAAUCGUUUUUAAUUAGUGAUUAUUUCUGACAUUUUAGUUCACUCAAAACUGUCCAAAAACCACCCUCACCACAUGUUCGAUCUAAUUCCUCAAUCACAUUUAGUCCUUGAGAGAUGACCUAGGAGUCACUUCCUAGUAUUAUACUACACUUAAUUGAGCAUUAAAUUUGAUUCAGGUAUGACCUCAAUCACUAUCAACACUAUCAACAAUGUUUCACCUUCAAUAGAUGUCCAUGAUGCUUCCACAUGCAUACCUCAAGAUCCUUCAUCCACUUCACUCUCAAAUGAUGAUAAUGCAACUCCUACGUCUAUGCAUCGUAAUCUCUCAUCAUCUUCGGACCUUUCUUCUCCUUCAACAUGUUUUGAUAAAUCUUCUAUACCACUGUCGUCCACAUCUUCACGUUACCUUAUGUACUUUCAACCACCAACACUCACCCCAUAACUACUAGUGAUAAAUUAGGUAUUCUCAAACCCAAAAUCCUACCUACUGUUGUUUCUAACCCUAUUCUUACUACAGUUAAGGAAGCU
rnacentral:lncRNA from 1 species